rnacentral:rRNA from 1 species
UACGAAGGGGGCUAGCGUUGCUCGGAAUUACUGGGCGUAAAGCGCACGUAGGCGGCUUGUUAAGUCGGGUGUGAAAUCCUGGAGCUCAACUCCAGAACUGCCUUCGAUACUGGCGAUCUCGAGUUCGGGAGAGGUGAGUGGAACUGCGAGUGUAGAGGUGAAAUUCGUAGAUAUUCGCAAGAACACCAGUGGCGAAGGCGGCUCACUGGCCCGAGACUGACGCUGAGGUGCGAAAGCGUGGGGAGCAAACAGG